rnacentral:rRNA from 3 species
UACGUAGGGUGCGAGCGUUGUCCGGAAUUACUGGGCGUAAAGAGCUCGUAGGUGGUUUGUCGCGUUGUUCGUGAAAACUCACAGCUUAACUGUGGGCGUGCGGGCGAUACGGGCAGACUGGAGUACUGCAGGGGAGACUGGAAUUCCUGGUGUAGCGGUGGAAUGCGCAGAUAUCAGGAGGAACACCGGUGGCGAAGGCGGGUCUCUGGGCAGUAACUGACGCUGAGGAGCGAAAGCGUGGGGAGCGAACAGG